GGAGUCGCAGCUCAGGUGAGUAGAGCAUCUGCCUGGCAGGCAGGAAGGCCCCGGAUUCAAUUCCCAGCACCUCCA